GCCUGGGUGGCUCAGUCAGUUAAGCCCCUGACUGCAGCUCAGGUCAUGAUCUCACGGUUUGUGGGUUCAAGCCCCAUCUCAGAGCC
rnacentral:tRNA from 1 species